rnacentral:rRNA from 1 species
GUGUCAGCCGCCGCGGUAAUACGAAGGGGGCUAGCGUUGUUCGGAAUCACUGGGCGUAAAGCGCACGUAGGCGGAUGUGCCAGUCAGGGGUGAAAUCCCGGAGCUCAACUCCGGAACUGCCUCUGAUACAGCACGUCUUGAGUUCGAGAGAGGUGGGUGGAAUUCCUAGUGUAGAGGUGAAAUUCGUAGAUAUUAGGAAGAACACCGGUGGCGAAGGCGGCCCACUGGCUCGAUACUGACGCUGAGGUGCGAAAGCGUGGGGAGCAAACAGGAUUAGAAACCCUCGUAGUCC